rnacentral:rRNA from 1 species
UGCAAGUCGAGCGGACAGAUGGGAGCUUGCUCCCUGAUGUUAGCGGCGGACGGGUGAGUAACACGUGGGUAACCUGCCUGUAAGACUGGGAUAACUCCGGGAAACCGGGGCUAAUACCGGAUGGUUGUUUGAACCGCAUGGUUCAAACAUAAAAGGUGGCUUCGGCUACCACUUACAGAUGGACCCGCGGCGCAUUAGCUAGUUGGUGAGGUAACGGCUCACCAAGGCAACGAUGCGUAGCCGACCUGAGAGGGUGAUCGGCCACACUGGGACUGAGACACGGCCCAGACUCCUACGGGAGGCAGCAGUAGGGAAUCUUCCGCAAUGGACGAAAGUCUGACGGAGCAACGCCGCGUGAGUGAUGAAGGUUUUCGGAUCGUAAAGCUCUGUUGUUAGGGAAGAACAAGUACCGUUCGAAUAGGGCGGUACCUUGACGGUACCUAACCAGAAAGCCACGGCUAACUACGUGCCAGCAGCCGCGGUAAUACGUAGGUGGCAAGCGUUGUCCGGAAUUAUUGGGCGUAAAGGGCUCGCAGGCGGUUUCUUAAGUCUGAUGUGAAAGCCCCCGGCUCAACCGGGGAGGGUCAUUGGAAACUGGGGAACUUGAGUGCAGAAGAGGAGAGUGGAAUUCCACGUGUAGCGGUGAAAUGCGUAGAGAUGUGGAGGAACACCAGUGGCGAAGGCGACUCUCUGGUCUGUAACUGACGCUGAGGAGCGAAAGCGUGGGGAGCGAACAGGAUUAGAUACCCUGGUAGUCCACGCCGUAAACGAUGAGUGCUAAGUGUUAGGGGGUUUCCGCCCCUUAGUGCUGCAGCUAACGCAUUAAGCACUCCGCCUGGGGGAGU